GACUGCGGAGGGAUCAUUACCGAGUUUACAACUCCCAAACCCCUGUGAACAUACCACUUGUUGCCUCGGCGGAUCAGCCCGCUCCCGGUAAAACGGGACGGCCCGCCAGAGGACCCCUAAACUCUGUUUCUAUAUGUAACUUCUGAGUAAAACCAUAAAUAAAUCAAAACUUUCAACAACGGAUCUCUUGGUUCUGGCAUCGAUGAAGAACGCAGCAAAAUGCGAUAAGUAAUGUGAAUUGCAGAAUUCAGUGAAUCAUCGAAUCUUUGAACGCACAUUGCGCCCGCCAGUAUUCUGGCGGGCAUGCCUGUUCGAGCGUCAUUUCAACCCUCAAGCACAGCUUGGUGUUGGGACUCGCGUUAAUUCGCGUUCCCCAAAUUGAUUGGCGGUCACGUCGAGCUUCCAUAGCGUAGUAGUAAAACCCUCGUUACUGGUAAUCGUCGCGGCCACGCCGUUAAACCCCAACUUCUGAAUGUGACCUCGGAUCAGGUAGGAAUGCCGGAU
rnacentral:rRNA from 1 species